rnacentral:lncRNA from 1 species
GACUAUGAUCCGAUAAAUGAUAAAAUAUUAACGGAAUAAAUCCACGGGCACGCAAUUGCUUACCAAACACACUGAUGAUUGAUGACUGGUGAGUAGCGACUGAUCAUCUUCUCUGCGAUUUAUUUGACCGUACGUGACUGCGCAUGGUAGAGCCAUUAAUGGUUACACAAUGGCUCACCUUUGCUUCCUUUUUGUCCACGUCGCUCAUAAUAAUAAAAAAAUAAUUUAUUAAGCGUCGUUUUCGUUGAGUAUAUUUUCGCUGACAGCUGACGUUCCAUUACACUGCACUUCAAUCUACAUUACUCUACAUACCCCAGCGCUUUCCCUCUCCCGCUUUCCGUUUAAGUAAAGUGAUUAUCUCUACACUCCGUGGCUUAACAUGUGUACCUUUUUCACUUACCUCAAUUUCCCGUUCGGUUUUCC